GACGAACCGUGCGAACGUUGUUCGGAAUCACUGGGCUUAAAGGGCGCGUAGGCGGGCGGCCGAGUCCGGGGUGAAAGCCCCCAGCUCAACUGGGGAAGUGCCCCGGAGACUGGCCGCCUCGAGGGAGGUAGGGGCGUGCGGAACUUCCGGUGGAGCGGUGAAAUGCGUAGAUAUCGGAAGGAACACCGGUGGCGAAAGCGGCGCGCUGGACCUCUGCUGACGCUGAGGCGCGAAAGCCAGGGGAGCAAACGGG
rnacentral:rRNA from 1 species